CAGCUGAUUGAGCCCGUGUUUGUGUUUACGUCUCGCGGAUUGCGCAGAUUUAGCUCGUUUCUCGCGUUUUGCAGAGGGAUAAAGCGGCUGUUGCGCUCGUCGGCGCCGCUGUCGGCGCCGCCGGACAAGGCGGUGCUCGGAAAGCUGCGGAAAAAGAGCGGCGACGCGUCCAGAAAGUGCAAAAAGGCGCUCGAGAACCGCGGAAAUCACUUGGCAAAGAUGAAGCCUUGAGUACCGCGAGCAAUUGCUGCCGGUGGCCGCAGGUCAGCGGCUUUCCCUUCCCUCUGGUGGCGCCAGGUCUCUCAAUACUCUCAAAGGUUCGUCUGGAGGAGCGCGGAAAAUGUAGUCGACUGUGCUGACAACGAGUGAGUGAAUAAUUCGGCUGGCGACGAGACGCUGCAGGUGGCGCCGACGAGGACGGCGCCGCUGUCGGCCCACCGCCAGUCCAGGCACCAGGUUGGCGACACACGUGAGCGUGAGGAGGUCGCUGACCCGCCGAGGGUAGACGCUGAUUGGUAGAAGUAGUAGGUGCGGAGAAAUGGACACCCUGGGCAGCAUCUCGGAGGGGAAGCAGCAGUACACCUCGUUGUCCGAGAGACGUCAGUGUUGAGCGGCCGCAAGCACCAGGUGGCUCCUCACGCAACCCUGACGAAACCACCUUCAGGUAUACUCAUCCAGAUUCACUUCUAGUUAAGACGUCCUCAACCUGACGUCGGGGUAAACACCCUGAGUUUGUAAAUUUAAUUUCUUUUCAUUUAAAAAAAAUAUUCCUUCCUCCUGACUCACAAUCAGGGAAGGUUGUUUUGAACGUCAUCCACAUCUCCGCCUGGUUCGAGGGUAGUUUCGAUUUAAAUUUUGGACUUGCGUUGCAGUGUUGCGGCGUGCGAGCGGGUGCGGCGGUGGCGUCGCGCCGCUUCUCCGACUCGCGCCACGAGCUGAGCGCUGAUCGAGGCCGA